GCUGCGCACCAAAGACCACAAAUAUUUACCCAUACCUAAUAAGACAACAAUUGCACGAUAUCCACAAUUAUCGUCAGCUUUGACAUCAACAAUGUUUUCAAUGGAAUCAUGAAUGCAUGGAUGAAAUUGAUCCAAUAUUGGCAGAGUCCUUCUUGGAAUUGCUUGCUUAGAUGAUAAUGCACUAUGUUUGACUAAAGAAUUACUAUUUUGCACAAAAUGUAAUGCAUCCACAUUCUCCCAAUAAGACGAAUCACGCUUUGUUGAUCUUUGAUGUUUGGUCAUCGGUUUCUUUUGAAC
rnacentral:lncRNA from 1 species